rnacentral:rRNA from 1 species
UUCUGCUAUCACUCUUGGAUGGACCUGCGGUGCAUUAGCUAAGUUGGGUAGGGGUAACGGGGCCUACCCAAGGCGAUGAUGCAUAGCCCGAGUUGAGAGACUGAUCGGCCACAUUGGGACUGAGACACGGCCCAAACUCCUACGGGAGGCAGCAGUAGGGGAAUCUUCCACAAUGGACGCAAAGUCUGACGGAGCAAAACGCCGCGUGAGUGAAGAAGGGUUUCGGCUCGUAAAAGCUCUGUUGUUGGUGAAGAAGGACAGGGGUAGUAACUGACCCUUUGUUUGACGGUAAUCAAUUUAGAAAGUCACGGGCUAACUACGUGCCCAGCAGCCGCGGUAAAU